GUAAAGGUGCCAGAAUUAAUGGGAUUAAUUUAGGAUUAAUUUAUGAUUUUUAUCUCUUUAUG
rnacentral:tRNA from 1 species